CCUCGGCGCCUCCCGCGGGCGGGCGGACUGACCGACGGACGGACUGACGGUGGACGGUGGGCGGCGGACCGCGCGCAGGGGACAGGAGCAGGGCGGCGCGAGCGCGGGGUGUGCGGCCCCGGCCCUCGGCGACCCCGGCCCCAUGGCCGGCCCGGCCCCGCCCUCCGCCGACGAGCUGCCCGGCCCGGCCCGGCGCCUCUACUCCAGGAUGGAGACCUCGUGCCUGGAGCUGGCCCUGGAGGGCGAGCGUCUCUGCAAGGCCGGGGACUUCAAGGCGGGCGCGGCCUUCUUUGAGGCAGCGGUGCAGGUGGGCACCGAGGACCUGAAGACUCUCAGCGCCAUCUACAGCCAGCUGGGCAAUGCCUACUUCUACCUGAAGGAGUACUCCCGGGCGCUGGAGUACCACAGGCACGACCUGCUGCUGGCCCGGACCAUCGGUGACCGCAUGGGGGAAGCCAAGGCCAGCGGGAACCUGGGCAACACACUCAAGGUGCUCGGCCGCUUUGACGAGGCCAUUGUGUGCUGCCAGCGGCACCUGGACGUCGCCCGGGAGCAGGGGGACAAGGUCGGGGAGGCGAGGGCAUUGUACAACAUCGGCAACGUGUACCACGCCAAGGGCAAGCAGCUCUCGUGGAACGCCGCACAGGACCCCGGGCACCUGCCGCCCCAUGUCCGGGAGCCACUGCGCAGAGCCUCCGAGUUCUAUGAGAGGAACCUGUCCCUCGUGAAGGAGCUGGGCGACCGGGCGGCCCAGGGCAGGGCGUAUGGCAACCUGGGCAACACACACUACCUGCUGGGGAGCUUCGUGGAGGCUACGACCUUCCACAAGGAGCGCCUGGCCAUUGCUAAGGAAUUUGGAGACAAGGCGGCAGAGAGGAGGGCAUACAGCAACCUGGGGAACGCCCACAUCUUCCUGGGGCGCUUUGACGUGGCCGCCGAGUACUACAAGAAGACGCUGCAGCUGUCCCGGCAGCUCAAGGACCAGGCGGUGGAGGCACAGGCCUGCUACAGCCUGGGCAACACCUACACUCUGCUGCAGGACUACGAGCGCUCGGCCGAGUACCACCUUCGGCACCUGCUCAUCGCCCAGGAGCUGGCCGACAGAGUGGGAGAGGGCCGGGCGUGCUGGAGCUUGGGGAAUGCCUACGUGUCCAUGGGGAGCCCGGCACAGGCCCUGACCUUCGCCAAGAAGCACCUGGAGAUCUCCCAGGAGAUCGGGGACCGAAACGGGGAGCUCACGGCCCGCAUGAACGUGGCACAGUUGGAGCUGGUGCUGGGCCGGCUGAGCAGCCCCGCGGCCGCGGAGAAGCCCGACCUGGCCGGCUACGAGGCCCAAGGUGCCAGGCCCAAGAGGACACAGAGGCUGAGUGCAGAGACCUGGGGCCUGCUGAGGCUCCCCCUGGAACGGGAGCAGAAUGGAGACAGCCACCAGCUGGGGGAGUGGCGGGGGCCGGGCAGGGACAUGCUCCCUCUCCCCAUGAGGAGCAGGAAGUACCAGGAGGGGCUGGAGACCGCUGAGAGGCCCCGCGAGGGCGGCCACUCCCCGCUGGACAGCGCGGACGUCCGGGUGCAGGUGCCUCGCACGAGCAUCCCUCGGGCCCCGUCCUCCGACGAGGACUGCUUCUUUGACCUGCUGAGCAAGUUCCAGAGCAGCCGCAUGGAUGACCAGCGCUGUCCCCUGGAGGAGGGUCAGCCCGGGGCCGCCGAGGCCACCGCCGCCCCCAGCCUGGAGGAGAGGGUCGCCCGGCCCUCGCUGACGGCCUCCCCGCAGACCGAAGAGUUCUUCGACCUGAUCGCCAGCUCGCAGAGCCGCCGGCUGGACGACCAGCGUGCCAGCGUAGGCAGCUUGCCCGGGCUCCGCAUCACCCACAACAACCUGGGACACCUGCGUGCCGACGGGGACCCGCAGGAGCCUGGGGACGAGUUCUUCAACAUGCUCAUCAAGUGCCAGUCCGCCAGGAUCGACGACCAGCGCUGCCCGCCUCCCGACGUGCUGCCCCGAGGCCCCACCAUGCCUGACGAGGACUUCUUCAGCCUCAUCCAGAGGGUGCAGGCCAAGCGGAUGGACGAACAGCGGGUCGACCUCGCCGGGAGCCCGGAGCAGGAGGUCGGCGGGAGACCCGAGCCCCGGCAGCAGUGCCAGCCUGGCGCCACCUAAGGCCUUGUGACUGCAGCCAGGCCGGCCCCACCCCCGCUCCUGGACUCGGGGCCGGGGUGGGGGGGUGGGGGGGCGGAGAGCUCACGGUCAUCUGCCCAGAAGCCCGUUCCUCUGGAGGCCACGGCUGAGCACAGGCUCCGAGCCCUCUGGCCCUUUCCACUGUGGCAGACGCUGGGCACACAGCCCCCACAUCGGCUCCCUCCCAGGGUGGCAGGCUCAGGUCAGGGCUGCCCUGGAGGGUGGCUGUGCUCCUGUCCUAGAGCAGCCCCCGGGGUGGUACACGGCCUCCCGCAGGCCUGCCAGGCCUUCCCACUGCCCCAGGCCCAGCCCUCCCCCUGCCCCAUGCCCAGCUCUCCCCCUGCCCCAGGCCCAGCCCUCCCCCUGCCCCAGGCCCAGCCUUCCCCCUGCCCCAGGCCCAGCUCUCUCCCUGCCCCAGGCCCGGCUCUCCCCCUGCCCCAGGCCUGCAGCUUGUUGGGUCCAAACCCUCCGUGGCGCCCCUCUGCCCUGCCCAGCUCCCUCCUGCCUGGCAAAUGUGAAGAUGCUGUUGCCUCCCUUAAGUCCCCAAAGGCCCCUCUGACGGCUUUUCUGUGGGGCUUACCAAUGACACGGACAUUUCUGUCCUCCCAGAGGUGGUCCUGGGAUGAUGGAACCUGUUUGCCCCAGUCCCAGCCUCUCUCCCACAGGGAGGGGUCCCUCCCAGCCCUUCGGCCCUCCCACCUCCCUUCUCCACCUAGAGAAGGUGCGAGGUGGUCUCAGCCUGGAACCUGACACAGCAGCGGAGGCAGGCCAGGUGCCCCCACACAGAGCCACCAGGUCCUGGCAUUUCAGCCCCCCACCCCGAGCCGGCACCCAGUCUUGAACAGGCAGGGGCAGUGGAUGGGUGGGGACAGGCUACACCCCUCAACUCCAAGCUCCGAGGCCCGGGGACAGAGCAGGACAGGACAGAGGCCCAGGACAGGGACUGCGGCAGGCCCGGGGGCCGGCGGCGAAAGCUGGGGGGGUUCAGCUCGGCCCAACCCUGGGCACCCAGCCCUCGCUGCGCCCCAAGCUGGGAAGGUGACAUCACUGCCUUCUAUGGGGAGGGUCCAGCCCCCACACAGCCAAGCCCACCCAUGGGAUUGUGCAGGAAAGGCCCCUGCCUUGGCCCGCCACCAGCCCUUCUGGAGAGCCACCCCCACCCCCCGCCCAGCCCCGCGGCCCCCAGGGUGUGAGGUGGCCACGUCCUCCUCAGGCAGUGCCCCAGCUGGGCUCCCUCCAUCUUUCUCAGAGGCCCUCCUGGCGGGGGAGGCGGCCGGACCCCCACCCCGCAGUACGGCCUGGGGGCCCUGGGCUCUGAUGCUCUGAAAGGUGUGGGUGGGAGCCCGGGGUGUGGGGGGGCCAGAUGCCAGAACACGGGCCCCCCUCGGGCCCCCACAUACUUGAAUGUACAAGCAUAUUUAUUGCUCACACGUGUUUGCCCUGUUGUCAGUGGGUCCUUUCCAACCCAAGAGGUACAUGGUUUUUUGUUUUUCCCAAAAAAAUAAAGUCUGCCAAGUGAA